rnacentral:rRNA from 1 species
UGGGGAAUUUUGGACAAUGGGGGAAACCCUGAUUCAGCCAUCCCGCGUGUGCGAUGAAGGCCUUCGGGUUGUAAAGCACUUUUGGCAGGAAAGAAACGUCAUGGGUUAAUACCCCGUGAAACUGACGGUACCUGCAGAAUAAGCACCGGCUAACUACGUGCCAGCAGCCGCGGUAAUACGUAGGGUGCAAGCGUUAAUCGGAAUUACUGGGCGUAAAGCGUGCGCAGGCGGUUCGGAAAGAAAGAUGUGAAAUCCCAGAGCUCAACUUUGGAACUGCAUUUUUAACUACCGGGCUAGAGUGUGUCAGAGGGAGGUGGAAUUCCGCGUGUAGCAGUGAAAUGCGUAGAUAUGCGGAGGAACACCGAUGGCGAAGGCAGCCUCCUGGGAUAACACUGACGCUCAUGCACGAAAGCGUGGGGAGCAAACAGG